rnacentral:misc_RNA from 1 species
GAUGAAGAACGCAGCGAAAUGCGAUACGUAAUGUGAAUUGCAGAAUUCAGUGAAUCAUCGAGUCUUUGAACGCACAUUGCGCCCCCUGGUAUUCCGGGGGGCAUGCCUGUCCGAACGUCAUUGCUGCCCUCAAGCACGGCUUGUGUGUUGGGCCUCCGUCCUCCUCCCGGGGGACGGGCCCGAAAGGCAGCGGCGGCACCGCGUCCGGUCCUCGAGCGUAUGGGGCUUCGUCACCCGCUCUUGUAGGCCCGGCCGGCGCUUGCCGACACAUCAAUCUUUUUUCCAGGUUGACCUCGGAUCAGGUAGGGAUACCCGCUGAACUUAAGCAUAUCAAUAAGCGGAGGA